rnacentral:misc_RNA from 1 species
AACGCACACUGCGCCUCUCAGUAUCCUGGGAGGCAUGCCUGUCCGAGCGUCGUUUCAACCCUCGCGCCCCAGUUGGCGCGGUGUUGGGGAUCUACAGCAGCUGCCUCACGGCGGCGGUAGGCCCUGAAAACCAGUGGCGGACCCGUAGCGGCCCUCUCCUUGCGUAGUAGCAUUCGCCUCGCAUCGGGAGCCCUCGGGCCUUUCCAGCCUCUAAACCCCCAUCAAGCCCGCCUCACGGCGGCACCAAGGUUGACCUCGGAUCAGGUAGGAAUACCCGCUGAACUUAA